rnacentral:rRNA from 1 species
GAUGAACGCUGGCGGCGUGCCUAAUACAUGCAAGUCGAGCGAACGGACGAGAAGCUUGCUUCUCUGAUGUUAGCGGCGGACGGGUGAGUAACUCGUGGAUAACCUACCUAUAAGACUGGGAUAACUUCGGGAAACCGGAGCUAAUACCGGAUAAUAUUUUGAACCGCAUGGCUCAAAAGUGAAAGACGGUCUUGCUGUCACUUAUAGAUGGAUCCGCGCUGCAUUAGCUAGUUGGUAAGGUAACGGCUUACCAAGGCAACGAUGCAUAGCCGACCUGAGAGGGUGAUCGGCCACACUGGAACUGAGACACGGUCCAGACUCCUACGGGAGGCAGCAGUAGGGAAUCUUCCGCAAUGGGCGAAAGCCUGACGGAGCAACGCCGCGUGAGUGAUGAAGGUCUUCGGAUCGUAAAACUCUGUUAUUAGGGAAGAACAUAUGUGUAAGUAACUGUGCACAUCUUGACGGUACCUAAUCAGAAAGCCACGGCUAACUACGUG